UUUCCCCUAAAAAUUUUGAUUUCCCUCAUUGUUUUCCAGUUUUCCCCCAAAAUCUGAUAUCCACCGCUAGGUCUUGUUACCCAAAAAUUCUCCUUGUUUUCCCCCAAAAUCUGAUAUCCAACCGCUAGGUCUUAUUACCCAAAAAUUCUCUACACAAGCACACAACUAAGGUCGCACAACUUUUCAUCCCAAAGAAAACGAAGAAGAAUGAAGUUCAGUGUAAUCAUUCCGUGCUCAUCUUGACGAAACAUUCUGUACUUUGGCGGGUUCUCCAAUCCUCACCUCAAAAUCGAAUCAUCAUUUGUCUGGCUUUGGGGGAGAUCUAAUCGAUAAAAGGGCCUUGGAUUCAGAUUACAUGGUCAAAUGAAAUUAUGCAGGACAAUUGAUAGACCGAACAAAUUUUGGCAAGGCUGGAGAUGUUGUUUGAACAUUGCAAUACAGCUUGGGGGAAAUGAUUCAAAUUACACGGGAUAUUCAUGCUGACCCCAAAGAAGCCACUUGACUUUUGCAACAAUAAGGCUGGUGAACAAAUGGGUAUACAAGUUCCAAUUGAGAAGUUUUUUUCUUUUUCAUUUUCUCUUAAGCUUUUUUACUUUGAUUUAUUUUUAGCUUUUUAAAUCUUUUCUUUGCUAGGUUAGUUUAAUUAUUCGCAAAGGUGAAGACACUAUUAAAAAACUCCAGACACAAUUUUGAGCACACAUUCUGGUAGUUUUUGAGAUGACUAGCCUAACAUACAAACUAUGCCAAGGACAAAUGAAAAUGACAAUGAAAUUAGUAUUUUUUUUAUCAAAUGCAGACUUGGUAAAGUCAUGUUAUGUAUUUUGAUGUUUACACAUAGUGUAGUUGAAUCACAUUUUUUGUCUUUUACUAUGAAUUCCAACUAAUGUUUCAGAUCUUCAGUUCUUGUAAAUGUCUAUCUUUUGGUGCUUUUUGAAGUAGUCUAUCUUCGAUUCUAUUUGAAACAUAAUGUUUCUCUAUAGUUAACUCUCUUACAACUGAACAACUAGAUUACAAAGCAUCAACCCGGGUCUCCUUUAUAAAUAUGGGUUAAACAGGUCGUUUUGGGUUGACCCGAGUUUAUUGUGUAUCCGGGCUAGGGUUGAAAUCUUUGAUAUGAAUAUAAAUAUGGGCCGUGUUUGGGUUUUAUUUGCUAACCUGCUUACGCGACACUAUUAACAGCCAUAUGCAAAAGGAGAUGUGGAUUUUUUUUAUGGUGCCCAGUUUUUUUAAUCAGUUGCUUUAAAAGUGCAGAUUUCACAUUGGGUCAGCGUGGUUUGCUUGGUGUAGAAAAGGUAUCACACAUUAAUCCUUGGUUUUGAUGGAAGUUAAUGGUUGGUGAGAUUUCUCUAUGACCCCAAAGAUUAUCCAUAAUACUAGUGUUAGUAAAAGACCAUCCCCCAUCAUUUAGUUUUGUUCCUGAUGUGAGAUAUAUAUAUUUGGAAGAAAGUAGGGGGUGCAAACAAGCUGAAUCGAGCCUGAGGUCUACUAGGCUUGAGCUCGAGCUUGAUUAACUUAUGAGAGCUCGAGCUCGACUCGGUUGGAGCUUUGUUUUCAAAUUUUGAGCUUGGCACGUUGGUAGUAUCUCAAGUCCGAGCUCGGCUUGUUUAUUAUCUAUUUAUUAAUUAUAUUAAAUAAAAAUAUUAUAACUAAUACACUCGUUUAGGCUCUCGAGCUCGAUAAGUGAGCUCGGGCUGGGACUCGUUUACUAAACAAGCCUAUUUUCAGGUUCACGCUUGACUCGUAAACAUGUUUAAAUAAGCUCGGCUUGGCUCGUUUAAUAGACAACUUUAAAUAAGGGGCAAGUGUUAUUAAAAGUUAAAUUAGAACUAAUAUUACACUAAGGCUAAACGAUCCUAACAAGCUUCACAUGUCCGGCUCGAGCUCGGGCUCCAUAAAUAAACAAGCUUUAUUUUAGGCUCAAGCUUGGCUUGGGCUUGACUCGUUUCGAGAUUUUUUUUGAGCCAUCCUCGAGCAGCUCUCAAGUUGCUCAGCUUAUUUGCAUCCCUAAAAAGGUAUCAUACAUUGGUAAUAGAUUAUUUUCACACAAGUUUCUAAUGUUUGGACUUGUUGUUGAUCUUGUGUGCACCUUUAAGUCUGGUGUGUGUGGGUGUGUACAUAUACAUCGUGUCCUUUUCUUGACAUCUCAAUCAUGGUGGAUUGCACUCAUGAAAUCAUAUGGGCUGAACUCUUCUCUUAAUUAAUUUUCUAUUUCUGAAGCAUACUAUUUCUAUACUAGCAUGCUAUUUCUAUACAAGCUGUCAAGCAUCAUGUUUUAGUUAACUUUUUUUAUUAUCAGCUCCUAACCUAAAAGAGCUGAUGCAGUGUUGUGUUGUGUUGACCACGAAGAUGAAAUUACUAAUUUGGACUUUGGCACCACAACCUGGAAUUGCAUUCGGAGUUUUGCAUGUACAGUUUUCACACUCUCAAGGGUCUUUGUUAUUAUUCAGCUAUUCCAGAUGUCAUGUAUUUAUAGGGUGCUUUCACAUCAUACAUGAUCCUGGAGGGGGCUGAUGGAAUCAUUCAAAUCAAAUGUUGAAGUUGAGAAAACCUGUUGUUGGAAAUGCGCAAAAAUAUUAAAGAGGGUCAUCAAAGAUAAAAAGCGGAGCUCGAAUCCAUGCGCAAAGAGAUUGACUGUCAGUGACAACAUGAAAGUUAUAAUACGGAAGGUUAUGAGACAACUACUAGUUAGAGAUCGUGACGAGUAGAAUAAUUUCAUUUUUCUAAAUUAUUGUAAUUGACACUUCAUGCUACUAUAUUGUAAUUUGAGUUUAGACAAGCAUGUUAAAGUAGAUCAUUUGACUAUCAAUGAUACUUUUGUUAUUA